UACGAAGGGGGCUAGCGUUGCUCGGAAUCACUGGGCGUAAAGCGCACGUAGGCGGAUCUUUAAGUCAGGGGUGAAAUCCUGGAGCUCAACUCCAGAACUGCCUUUGAUACUGGGGAUCUCGAGUCCGGGAGAGGUGAGUGGAACUCCGAGUGUAGAGGUGAAAUUCGUAGAUAUUCGGAAGAACACCAGUGGCGAAGGCGGCUCACUGGCCCGGUACUGACGCUGAGGCACGAAAGCGUGGGGGAGCAAACAGG
rnacentral:rRNA from 1 species